AUUUGGGGAUAUUCCCUGCCCAAAAAAUUCCUGGAAAAUUGACUAGUAUUAAGUGUGAGUAAAAGGUGUCCACUUUUUUUUAAGUUUUGAUUUUAGUUUUGUCUUGGAUAGUAUUUGGCAAGAUUUAGCCUAGAAAUUAUGUAGUAUUUAUUACAUAAGAAUCAAAAUUGCUUUGUUACUGGGCUGGUUUCAAAGUUUAGAACUCAUUUCUAUGUAUCAAAAUCGGGUUUUGUUUUUUUUUGAUUUUUUUUUUUUUUUAAUUCUUAAAUGGUAAAUAUGCCAUUGUGAAAUGAAAUCUCAACUCCAAAAGUUUACCCUUUUACUAACUGGAGUAAAUGUACACUUACAAAGUCUUUAGCUGUAGCCAUUAGUAGUAAAGAAUUUGGACCUAGGCUGUGUAAGCAAGCCUUUCCAGGGCCACUAUUUAAUGGCAAACCAGUGACACUGGUGUUGAUACAAAAUAAGAAAUAAAUUUUCCCUUAGAUAAAGCUUUCUGUGUUUUGACAGUGCCAGUUUAGAAUGGCUAUAAUGCUGCUCUGCCUUCUACAGCUUGCUGCACCACUCUGUAGUUACUCUAUUACCAUACAUUUCUAUCUUUU
rnacentral:sRNA from 1 species